ensembl:processed_transcript si:dkey-261e22.4 si:dkey-261e22.4
AGUCCUCUUUUCCCCCUGCCAUUCCCCCUCAACAUCGUCCAUCGCUUGCCUUCGCAUCUCUUUGGUUCACUUCAGCAAAGUUUCAACCAUGGGCUGUGGAAAUUCCACUGCUGCCAGCACAACCCCAGGUACGUCUGAAGCUUUCUUGCUUAGGCAAGAUGAUUCCUCCAUGGACGAAGAAAAGAGGAGGAACUACGGUGGAGUGUACGUGGGUAUCCCUGCAGACCUCACUAAUGAGACCGCCGGACAAACAGCCUCCACACACAAAGAAUAAUGAUAUUCGGAGCUUGAUGCACAGAUAAAGGGCUGUCCGGAGGGAAAUCUUGGCUGUAAAGUGCUGCGUGAUAAUCUCUAAAGGACGCAAUUUUCAUCUUUGCUGAUUGGCUGGUUGGGACACAAC